GGGGAGUUGAAGUAUUUCUUAGGAUUUCAAGUAAAGCAACUCCAAGAGGGCACCUUCCUAAGUCAAACGAAGUUGUAACACUCCAGGUUCCACAAACAACCCGGUAUGCUACUGUACUACACUUCCGACGUCCAUAUAUAAAAUUUCGGCAGCAUCCCCUUUGCAAGAUUGCAUAAAAGAGGGAGCAACAGAGUAUAAACAUAUAUCAUGACUAAAACAUACUAAGUAUUAUUACUCGGCUAGCAAGGAAAGAUAAACAUACGACCUGAACUGAAUUAACCAGUGCGCACGACCAUAUAAAAAAAUAAACAAACUUCAUUUGACAAUAAGUUUCUAAUUAAAUCAUGGCUGCGCCUGGGCAGCGUUAUUGUGAGAGUGAAAGUGGACGUGCUGCUACUCCCCUCAUUCCCAACAUGUAUCAAGUACCUGCAUUGAGUAAUGCAAGAGUGAGAUGACACAUCUCAGCAAGUAAAAUAAUAUCAAACAGUUUAACCACAUAAGAACAUUGUUUUACCACCACUUAAUUCCACAACCUUUUUAUUACGAAGGUGCAGCACGUAUACAACGUACAACGCACCUAGUUACCACACCUCGCAGGUAGAAACCACAAUAGUAACAUAGUAAUGUCACACUUCAUAUAUUCCUCAUGAGUGCAAAUGUCUGCAAAUGCAAGGAUGACUUCUGCCUUCAUACCUCUAAGGAUAUGAAGCCGCAUCGUACCCCUCCUCGGGCAACGUACGAUGCUAAAAAUGUACCGGUACGGUCGGACCAUAAGAUCACGACAUAACUUCAAAAUGCAAGAUGGAUGAUGCGAUGUGCAUGUCAUGCCUACAACACUUCAUAUAACAUGAUUCAAAAAGACACUUCAACUUCAUCCAGAUGGGAAUCAACCACAUAUAUCAUUACCAAAUUAUGAUCAUCCACAAUAUUAGACAAUUGAGAAUCAAUACUUCCAAACAAAUAAACUUCAUCAUAGAAUUCAAUGAUUAACAUAAUUAAAACUUAUGCAUACUCAAUGACAGGGAAUAGGAUGCAAACCAAACGGUAGCAACCACCACUGUAUUUACUUGCCUUUACCGGAAGUUCGGGCAAAUCCCUAAGUACGAUCCGGAAGUCCACCACCUGUUUUUGACACCCAACUUAGUACACCAAUUUCACAUAAUCAGGCUCAUAAGCGAUGCCGCACCUACGCACAAACUCAAACCCCGCCGCGGGUUACAUCUCUCCCUACACCCACCAAACUGCAGCGGCGCUGCUUAAUAAUUUCAUAACUUUAAAAGUAUGACAGCAGUGGUAACAAACAAAAACUCCAGAGGCAUCUACAUAAAAUUCCCCACAAGUUUUGUAUACAAUUUAUAAUUAAAUUCCAAUAUCUAAUUAGCCUAAAACAGUCCACAAGAUGAACCCUGUAAUCUGUUUUUCUUUGUCUUUUGGACAGCGACAUACCCAGAUUCAAACAGCGAUAUCUUUUAAAAUAUAAUUCCAAAUCAAGCGCAUAAGUACUCAUUGGAAAGAUAAGACAAAUCCCUACAUGAUUACCAUACUGGUUAACACUAAUUACCCACGAAAAAUUCCUAGAAACUGCUAAUACCACUGCUGUUCACCCACCUGAAAAAUCUGUUUUUUUUGGACAGCAACAUAACCGGAUUCAAACAACGAUAUCUCCUGAAUUAUAACUCCGAAUCGAGCGCAUAAGUACUUGUUGGAAAGAUAACAUAAAGCCCUACAUGAUUCUCAUACUGAUUAACACUAAUUACCCACGAAAAAUUCCCAGAAACUGCUAAUACCACUGCUGUUCACCCACCUGAAAAAUCUGUUUUUUUGGACAGCAACAUAACCGGAUUCAAACAACGAUAUCUCCUGAAUUAUAACUCCGAAUCGAGCGCAUAAGUACUUGUUGGAAAGAUAAAAUAAAGCCCUACAUGAUUCUCAUACUGAUUAACACUAAUUACCCACGAAAAAUUCCUAGAAACUGCUAAUACUGCUGCUGUUCAUCCCCCUGAAAAAUCUGUUUUUUUGGACAGCCACAUACCCGGAUUCAAACGGUGGUAACUUUCAAUUUAUAACUCCAAAUUGAGCGCAUAAAUACUCGUUGGAAAGGUAAGGUAAAGUUCUACAUGAUCCCCAAACUGAUUUUCCUUAAUUCCUCACGAAAAAAACACAGAAACUGCUAGACUACUGCUGUUCACCCACCACCUAAAAUUCUGGACAGCCCCCUCUACCCCAAUCGCAAACGUAACCUCUAAUCAAUUAAAUUGCAGCGCAAAUGAACAAGUGAUGAACACAAAAAUCACCUUGGAUUCUCCCCCUUUCCUUCCUCCCUUCUUCCCUCCACCAAAACGAUUGAAGACUCGCACCACGACGACGAUGAUCCGAGCGGCAAGGAUUGGCACCUUGGGAGGAGGGGAUUGAGAGGGGGGGCUAGGGUUUGGUGGCUGCAAGAAUUGAGAGAGGAGGAGAUGGGCAGGGGGGCGGCGGCCAAGGGGGAAGAGAAGUGGGGGGGCAGCUGCACAUGGGGGGAGGGGGUUAGGAGGGAGGCGGCUAGGGUUUGGGAGGGUUAAUGGGCCGAAACUCCAAUUGCGGCCCAACUAAUCCACGCAACAGCUCCCGACCGCAACGCAAGCGCCAAACCAAAUAAAUUCUACUGCCCUAGUUGUGAAUGUUUUCCACAAAAUCCCAAAUCCCCAAAACAACAACCGGAUGAGGAAAAAAACAAAAAGAACAACCCCCAACUUCUCUUCUUUGCAAACCGGGUAUCACACUCUACCCCUCUUAAAAAGAAUUCGACCUCGAAUUCUGACGCUUCUAUCGGAACAACAAAAGAAAGGUUAAUGAAUCAACAAAACUCACACAUAAAGAAAAGUUCGAGUACUUCUGCCGUAUCAGCUCCUCAAGCUCCUAGGAUUCUAAGAUACGCAGCAGACGACACUCUAGAGUCUGCUCUUGCUACACAGGAAUCGGCUCUAGCUCGAUUUGAUGGUCUGGAUUCCGCAAAUACUUCCUCAACAAAAAGACAUGGAAUACUUGGUGUACUCUGAUCACAGAUUCCGACAAUUACAUGUGCUAAGCCCAGCUGCCAACUCGGCCAAGAUAGCAGACGGUCCUAUAUACCUCGGAUCAAGCUUUCCUGACACCAAAUCAAUCAUUGACAUAUGCAAGUACUUCAAGGAAUGUAUAUAUGAAUGCAAGGCAUAUAAUGUUCCUAUAGGCUAAACCAAACUUAGCCACACAAGAGCAACUUCAAGAGAGCAACUUAAUGCUUGCAUAUUUCUAGAUAGCAGCACAGCGGUUAAUUGUUUUGCUCCUAACUCACAAAAAUAUGCAUCGAAAAUUAGUAAACUAGGACUUUAUGGAAAACUUAUAAAGUCCACUAUACCCUUGGUAUUAUCAUCACAACAAGAUUUGGCACUUAGAAAGGUCAAACAGUGCUAAACGUAAAUUCUGUCCAGACUUGGACAUAAUUCAACUACUCAAUUCAAAAAUCCAUAAUUGGGGUCUCAAUCAUCCAAAUCAGGUGCUCCCAGACUUUUUAGAAAGCUAGUAGAAUUGUCUAUAAUUCAUUUAUAAACAUAUCAAGUUAAUUCAAUGCAUAUUAAGGUCAAAAGACACGAGAAAGGCUCUGCUGUCCAAAUUUGGACAGAUUCAGAGAUCACACUUAAAACAGCUGUAACUUAACUUAUAGAUCUCCAAAAAAAAUCCAAAAUUUGUUGUAACGAUUAAGAAAAGUACUACAACUUAUUUAUAAUUUAUAAUAAGUUAUUCGAAGUUUAAAUUGGGCAAACAAGGUCAGCUUCGAAAUCUGUAUAGAAUCUGCAUAGAUUUCAAGACUGGACUUGAGAAAAUCAUAACUCCCAAACUACUAGACCUAUGGUCAUGAAAUUUUUACACAAGUAAGAUAAAUAAGUUGGCUACAACUUUUAUAUAUAACAUCUCUACAGAAAAGAUGGUUUACUUCACUGAACUAGCUGCAUAACUAAAACUGGUCAUGCAGUCCCAAUAGCAAGCAAUAGAUUUUAACAGGUUCAUUACUCUUCUAAGAUUAAGCGUUCAUUGAAAGACUAAUAACUUUAGGUUCUUCAUUACGAGACACCUAGAACAAAUAUAAGUAUAGAAGCAAUAUGAUAACUUUUUAAAUCCUUUAAGCCUAAUCUCACAUCAUGCAAACAAGAAUCAAUUUAAGCAUGUUAUGUCUGCCCACAUAUUCAUCCAAGCACAUUCUAUACAUGAUAUCAUAACUCCCUGCAGCUAACAAAAUUUUGCAUAUAUAAACUCACUGAAAAGGUUAUAACAUUCCCUAGAACUUUUAUUAUAAUGAGUGUCUCGGAAUUGGUUUCCAAACCGAUAAAACAAUGCAACUCUUUUGUUUCAAAACUGAUAAGAUUAAAACAAUGGACAACUAAAAUUCAAAAACCUGUAACUCCUGCUAUACUCAACUUAAACUACAACGAACACGCGUUGGAAAAGUUUUGAAAAUUGUCCACGACUUUUGCAAUAAAGUUGCACCCAAAUUUAUCCUUAUAGCCCACAACUCUGCAUGACCUACAGCUAAACUCAGCCUGAGAUACUGCACAUUAGAGAUUCGACUUAUAUCCGGGAAACCACCUCUCCAAAUCUAUUUAACAGACAGUUACAAGUAAAUACCCAUUAAAAAGGUACUGAAAAUACAUACAAGUUUUGCUUAAAGAGAAUUCGCAAAUUUGUGCUCUGCAACUAUCAAAACGCGGUCGAUUCAUUGGUGAUUAUAACGACGCCUAAAGUUUAGACACAACAGUGCAACAACUUCAGAGCAACCUAACUCCAAUUAUAUGCAAUGAGAAUUAGAAACCCAUACUCUUUGAAAAGAUCAUGAAAUUACUAAAACUUUCAUAAUCCACAAAGACCAAAUUAUACCGUCUUCAAUGUCUACUCUUCCGUACAAAAUUAAAGACUCACUCUGCUAGAGACACCAACAAAGAUGUUUUAAGAAACCCAUAUCUCUCAAAUGUUUAGACCAAACAUGGUGAUUAAGCAUCCUAUGGAAAGAUGCAGAAACAUACUACAAAACAUUCUAGAUAAGUGAAGCCUGAUUCAGCCUCCAACUAAUUUAAAAUGCCUCCCGAAACCAAACAACACAUUAUCAACAAUAAAAAAACAAUAUAAAAUGAAACCCAAGUCAUUGGCAGGUGCCAUCAACACUAAGAUUUUCCACUACCAAACUGGGAUGCAACUCCACAAAGUCUUUAAAUAACACUCUACCAAAUAGGUUAGAACACUAAGCACAACAAUCAAUGAAUUCAACAACCUCGUUUGUUAAUGUCACUAAGGUCAAACAUCCAUGUACCGACAAUGUAUGAAACACCUGACAUACCCGUCUCCAGCUCUAUAAAACAUGGUUGUUAUUACACUAGAAUCCAACUACUAGAAAUCUCCAAAACUAUUCUGUUGACGUGAAGCAAAUGGUGCUCAUGUCAUAUAACAUCUUUUCCCCCUCUCAAAAGAGAUAAAAUUUGCAAUACUCAUAAAGCAAUGGAGGGAUAACAACAAGAAAAAACUAAUGUACUUCUUGACACAGACUCAUGCAAAAGCUUCAUAAAUAUUACUUUCAAUACUAAAAUAAUAACACGAUACUAUGCUCAACAGGAGUAAUUGGACUUCAAUAAGAUAAUCCGCCUAACCCAACUACUUUGAUUAACCUCACAUACAACAAUACCUCCUAUUAUUGCACUUGAACAAUUUGUACCUAGUGAUGUCAUAGGAUGAAUUCAAGGUAGUAGACAUACAUGAUCUAUCAAACCAUCAUUCAUAUAAUAAAAAUCUCCAUCUAAUGUAACAACCACAUCAUUAUAGAGAUAGAUGACUAACAAACAUAAGCAAUUUCCAGUUAAACAUUGACUUUGUUUAAGAUAAAGCGGUCCAAAUAAUAAUUCCACGAGCAUGCAUAGAGAACUGAUCACAUAAAAAAAACUACCAUGUAUCAUCGGCGAUUAAAAAUAAUAUAAAACGGGUUGUCCAUAUCGUCCGCAUGACUAGCCUCCAACAAAUAGAAAUUAUGCAUAACCUUUUUGGCUAUAGAAACAAACCAUAGCAGGAAAACAUGCAUGCCUCUCCAACUAUAAUAUAGACAUAAAAUCCACUUGAAAUCACCCUAUUUAUUAUUAAAGAUAAGGUUGCACACAAUAAGAAAACCUAUCAUGUAAACAUGGUUGGACUUAUCUACCCACGUUAUCUUGCAAAUUCACUUGAGUUCUUCUAGUCUCAAGAUUUCAUAGACAGUACAACAUUGCCUUUGCUCUAUGGAGACAAACCUAUUGUACUCUAAGAUCAAGUUGGCAAGUAGCCACACUAGCCAAAAAAAAGGUGAGGUGUAAAGCACUGCACCCCUGGAAAUAUUACAUUGAUAAGUUGGGUUGUAACCCAACAGUCAAUCCAACUCAACAACACCAUAAAACUUCAUUGUAUAGUGUUUUCACACUACACCAAGUCGGAUUAGAUCCUCUAUACACAAGCUCAAUAAACAAUCGGUCCUACAAGUACUAGAACCCAAGAAUCCUUUUGGGAAAAAAACAUCCACAGUCAAGCAUAUAGAAAUAUAUGAUGGUAAUAGCUCAGAGAUUAGUAAACAUUGCAUCCCAAAAAACAUCAUGACGAUAUGUAUAUAAAACAAGUACAUUAGUAGCUUCACUCGCAUAAUAAUUUCAAUAACAACCACAUCAAGAAACCAAUAUUAAAUAGAAGUAACAUUUCAUAUCAAGCAUUACGUCGUUAACGACAUACCUCAUCAAACCAUAAAGGGGUUUGGAGUAAGGAAAUUCUAGUCAUCUAUACAAUAAAAUACUAAUAUGAAAGAUAUAUGAACCCAUACCCUUCCUAUAUGUGCAAGUGUGUCAAAUUUAUCUUCAAAUUGCGUAGAAUCUAAAGCCUAUCCUUUGAUACCAACUGUAACACUCCAGGUUCCACAAACAACCCGGUAUGCUACUGUACUACACUUCCGACGUCCAUAUAUAAAAUUUCGGCAGCAUCCCCUUUGCAAGAUUGCAUAAAAGAGGGAGCAACAGAGUAUAAACAUAUAUCAUGACUAAAACAUACUAAGUAUUAUUACUCGGCUAGCAAGGAAAGAUAAACAUACGACCUGAACUGAAUUAACCAGUGCGCACGACCAUAUAAAAAAAUAAACAAACUUCAUUUGACAAUAAGUUUCUAAUUAAAUCAUGGCUGCGCCUGGGCAGCGUUAUUGUGAGAGUGAAAGUGGACGUGCUGCUACUCCCCUCAUUCCCAACAUGUAUCAAGUACCUGCAUUGAGUAAUGCAAGAGUGAGAUGACACAUCUCAGCAAGUAAAAUAAUAUCAAACAGUUUAACCACAUAAGAACAUUGUUUUACCACCACUUAAUUCCACAACCUUUUUAUUACGAAGGUGCAGCACGUAUACAACGUACAACGCACCUAGUUACCACACCUCGCAGGUAGAAACCACAAUAGUAACAUAGUAAUGUCACACUUCAUAUAUUCCUCAUGAGUGCAAAUGUCUGCAAAUGCAAGGAUGACUUCUGCCUUCAUACCUCUAAGGAUAUGAAGCCGCAUCGUACCCCUCCUCGGGCAACGUACGAUGCUAAAAAUGUACCGGUAAGGUCGGACCAUAAGAUCACGACAUAACUUCAAAAUGCAAGAUGGAUGAUGCGAUGUGCAUGUCAUGCCUACAACACUUCAUAUAACAUGAUUCAAAAAGACACUUCAACUUCAUCCAGAUGGGAAUCAACCAUAUAUAUCAUUACCAAAUUAUGAUCAUCCACAAUAUUAGACAAUUGAGAAUCAAUACUUCCAAACAAAUAAACUUCAUCAUAGAAUUCAAUGAUUAACAUAAUUAAAACUUAUGCAUACUCAAUGACAGGGAAUAGGAUGCAAACCAAACGGUAGCAACCACCACUGUAUUUACUUGCCUUUACCGGAAGUUCGGGCAAAUCCCUAAGUACGAUCCGGAAGUCCACCACCUGUUUUUGACACCCAACUUAGUACACCAAUUUCACAUAAUCAGGCUCAUAAGCGAUGCCGCACCUACGCACAAACUCAAACCCCGCCGCGGGUUACAUCUCUCCCUACACCCACCAAACUGCAGCGGCGCUGCUUAAUAAUUUCAUAACUUUAAAAGUAUGACAGCAGUGGUAACAAACAAAAACUCCAGAGGCAUCUACAUAAAAUUCCCCACAAGUUUUGUAUACAAUUUAUAAUUAAAUUCCAAUAUCUAAUUAGCCUAAAACAGUCCACAAGAUGAACCCUGUAAUCUGUUUUUCUUUGUCUUUUGGACAGCGACAUACCCAGAUUCAAACAGCGAUAUCUUUUAAAAUAUAAUUCCAAAUCAAGCGCAUAAGUACUCAUUGGAAAGAUAAGACAAAUCCCUACAUGAUUACCAUACUGGUUAACACUAAUUACCCACGAAAAAUUCCCAGAAACUGCUAAUACCACUGCUGUUCACCCACCUGAAAAAUCUGUUUUUUUUGGACAGCAACAUAACCGGAUUCAAACAACGAUAUCUCCUGAAUUAUAACUCCGAAUCGAGCGCAUAAGUACUUGUUGGAAAGAUAACAUAAAGCCCUACAUGAUUCUCAUACUGAUUAACACUAAUUACCCACGAAAAAUUCCCAGAAACUGCUAAUACCACUGCUGUUCACCCACCUGAAAAAUCUGUUUUUUUGGACAGCAACAUAACCGGAUUCAAACAACGAUAUCUCCUGAAUUAUAACUCCGAAUCGAGCGCAUAAGUACUUGUUGGAAAGAUAAAAUAAAGCCCUACAUGAUUCUCAUACUGAUUAACACUAAUUACCCACGAAAAAUUCCUAGAAACUGCUAAUACUGCUGCUGUUCAUCCCCCUGAAAAAUCUGUUUUUUUGGACAGCCACAUACCCGGAUUCAAACGGUGGUAACUUUCAAUUUAUAACUCCAAAUUGAGCACAUAAAUACUCGUUGGAAAGGUAAGGUAAAGUUCUACAUGAUCCCCAAACUGAUUUUCCUUAAUUCCUCACGAAAAAAACACAGAAACUGCUAGACUACUGCUGUUCACCCACCACCUAAAAUUCUGGACAGCCCCCUCUACCCCAAUCGCAAACGUAACCUCUAAUCAAUUAAAUUGCAGCGCAAAUGAACAAGUGAUGAACACAAAAAUCACCUUGGAUUCUCCCCCUUUCCUUCCUCCCUUCUUCCCUCCACCAAAACGAUUGAAGACUCGCACCACGACGACGAUGAUCCGAGCGGCAAGGAUUGGCACCUUGGGAGGAGGGGAUUGAGAGGGGGGGCUAGGGUUUGGUGGCUGCAAGAAUUGAGAGAGGAGGAGAUGGGCAGGGGGGCGGCGGCCAAGGGGGAAGAGAAGUGGGGGG
rnacentral:lncRNA from 1 species